GUGUUACGUCACAAGGCCCGCCCACCACGUUCGCCUUACGUCAUCACGUAGGCAUUUUGCGUGUGCCGUCAUCGCAGGAAGGCUGUCAACUGGGAACCAGGCAAACAAUACACUACUGAAAGAGAAUUAGAACAUCUGCCUAGAGUCCCUUAGUUAAUGGCAUAACCUGGAUUCUGUAGCUAUUGUAUAAAAUCCCACCUCUCCUGUGAUAUGAUUCAUUAUUAGCUUUCUGAUGCCUCAUGGUCACAAGAUGGAAGCCAGGAGACUGUAGUUUUCCAUAAUUACUGAGCAAAUUUUCUGAGUACUAUGCACACUGGACUGGCCUAGAGCAAAUCUUUUGUUUAAGAUUAUAAACUGAGGCCAAGAGAAGGAAACAAAUGGACUAUAUAUACAGUGACAGAAUAAAUACCAUGUGCCAGCAGUGACCUAGGACCUUUACACGCAUGAUCCCAUUACGUCCUUGCAAGAAGCCUGUAAGGUGCUGAUUCCAAAAGCAUUCUGUAAUAAACACCCCACAGGCUAGUCUUUGUCUCAGAGACUGCUUUCCAGGGAACUUAAUCAGAAGGAGUCAUCUAAAGUCCCCUUUUGUGUUUGAAGUUUGUCUUCAUAAACCGUUUGGGCUGAGAUAUGAGGAUGAUCGCAAGUUUAAAGCUUAAACAGCAAAGGAGAAGCUCAAGGAUAUACCCCUUGAAAUAAGAGCACCUGAUUCAAAGAACCUGUGUAUAUUCCAUGACCAAUCAACAUUGCUCAACAUUGAUCUCCUUGGCUUCGUGCAUCAAUUGAUGAACAAUGACCAGUGCAGUAUUCUCAGGUGGGCUAACAGAGAAUCUCAAAGACAAGGAUGUGUAUGCUACCAAGAGUCACUAAAUUGUUCGGUAAAUCUAACAUCAUGAAAGAAAGCCUCCACAAUCAACAAAUGGAAGAAUGAACACAAAUGACCAGAAUUAAUAGCAAACAGAGAAAGAAAACGUAUGUUUUAGACUUUUCUCAUGAGUCAGUUUAACCUACCUUGUUCUUUUAAAUACGUGUAUUGUAUUCUAAAAUGUGUCGCACAUUAUCUAACCAUUACCUUGUUGAAGGCAUUGGAAUACUGCAUCCAAUUUUCCAUUAUUAUCAGUAAUAUACAAAAAUGAUCCUUUUAUAAGCCUCUUUGAACGUAUGUGUGAGUAUGAGAAAUAUCUUCAGAGAAAUGUGAUAAGAAACUAAAUCUUAUCUAAACCACUAAAUCACUAAAGCAUCAACUAGUUCAAUAUAUUUAUUAAAGAGGAGACAUAUCCGCUAUUCUAUGAUAAAAGAUAUUUUGUGAUGAUAUUCUUUAAAUUGUGAUUAUUUAUUACAUACCAAUCCUAUACAGCAGUGACCUAAUUAAAUAGCUUUGGGAAGCAUUCACAAAUAUUUUUUUUUUCCCCCUGGCAGGAAUUAAUGCCAUU